rnacentral:rRNA from 1 species
AUGGCGUCGCCGGCCGCAUGCGCAUACUCGUGUCUUGGGCCGGCGGCGAGGGUUUGCACCGCGCCACGGCGGCGUCCGGCCUCCCCCUUCUCCCCGCUCGCCGCCCCUGCUCGCGUACGUCUACCGCGAACGGCGCCGCGCUCCCUGUCCAUGUCACUGUCGGCGCUGCGCCCGCUCGUGCACCGCUGCUAUUCUGAUCCCGAGAGCGCGCCUCGGAGCGAUCCGGUCGUCGACGACCACUCCGAUGUCGUGGACGUGGACCACACCGACGAAACCUAUGCCGGUUUGGUUCUGGGCGGCCCGGCCGUCGAGGAGCCCCGCGAGCGCGCGGCCACCACGGUCGUCGGCGAGCGCGUGGACGACGAAGACCAUCACGAUGUCGUGGCCAUGGUCCUCGGCGAUGGCACCGACGCCUUGGUUCUGAGCGGCCCGGCCGUCGAGGAGACCCGCGAGCUCGCGGCCACCACCCUCCAUGGCGAGGGCUCGCACGACGACGUGGACGACUGGGGCGACCUCGACGACGUCGUGUAUCCCGUGGGGCUGACCGUCGGGGAGAUCAAGGAGUUCAAAAACACGGACUUCAGCCGGGCCGCCAUCAACGAGCGGUUCCGGCGCGAGUCCAAGGAGGCGAAGGCGGCCGUGAUAGGCGCCGUCACCGGCGUGGUCCGCCCACUCCGGGAGCUCCUCGACGACCUGAGGAGCCUCAAGAGCGUCUUCGACACCCAGGAGUUCCACAUCGGCGUGCCCUUCGGCGCCAUCAUGGCGUGUAUGGGGAUGUACCAACUGUGGAAGCUUAGUCCCUCCACGUGCAUCGAGAUUGCCAUGUACUACGCCUUCUACAAGCUCAGCGCCAUCGCGGCCAACGUCCGGCGGCGGGGCUUCUCCCCCGACUGGAUAAUCCGGAUUAAACUCGGUAUAAUCAUCGCUCUACUUGUCAAAUAUCGUAGCAAAAGCACUGUGCCCCUUGGUGAUUAUAUCAGGGUAGCGAUCUUCAUCGUCUAUUUUAUUUCGGUGGGGUGCGACGUGCUGGGUAUGAAGAAACAUAUGAGAAUGGUUCUCCCUAUGGUCCUCGAGAUGGUAAAACAUCCAAUGGCAACGACAAUACGGUGCAAACGAGUGAAAGCUACAGGAGGGGUUGAAUAUUGCGAGAUCGAAAGAUAG